AGUCAUUUCCUUUUUACCUUACCUCCCUCACACUCGAGUAUAUACCAAAGCUUAAGUGUACAUGAAAAGAAGCAUCUGUAGAAUAUAGAAUAUCAAGCGCUUCUGAUCAAUUGAAAUGUAAUCACAAUUUACAUUAAACAUUUAGCAUUUGUGUAAUCACAAACGUUAAUUUCUACAGGUUUUAUGCUGUAAUAUGUUAUAAGUUACGGAAUGACUCCCAGAUGUAGUUCUUCAAAGCAGAAGCAAUAGCCUUCACUUGUACAGGUGGAUGCCGGCUGUUUCAUAAACAACAGUAAAUACAUGUGUAAAUACAUGUUCCUUUUGAGAAAAUGAUUGAGAAAACGUCAUCGUUGGCUGAUGGUACUGUUGACAUGAAAAGAGUUGUUAGGAAUGUGAGCGAGACACAGGAUGCACGUGUUCAGAGAAUGCGGUGUGGAGAACAUCUCCCACACAAAGCUGUUUUCCUCCAUCUGCACUGUAAAAACCUCCGCAGGGAGCUGUUGAGCGACAAGUUGCCUAACAUCUUUUGGUGCAGGAUUUAUUGAAAUAAACAACCACGCGGGCACCAAUGCCCCCCAUUGCCCCGGAACCGUCCCUUUGGGGUUUCGGGACCCUGCCCCCCCCCCCCCCCCCCGAGCCUCCCCCACAUCCCCUCAGGAAGAGGCGGGAAGGAGGAGCCUCAGCGAAGUCUCGCGAGAGUUCCCCGCGGGCGGCGGUGCCUUCCCCCGCUCUCGCGAUCGCCGCCGCCUUUCGGUUCCGUGAGGCGCGGCGGCAGCAUGCCUUCCCGGCUGAGGAAGACGAGGAAGCUGCGGGGACACGUCAGCCACGGGCACGGCCGCAUCGGUAAGCGGGGGGCCGGGUGCGGGGCCUGCACGGGCCUGGCGAGCAGCUCUGAGGGCCGCGGGGGGGCUGCGCCGCGGGGGGUGCCCCAAAUGCUGCGCUAAAAUGUCGCCCGUCCCUUUCGGACGGGGUUUGUGAGUUACCUCGGGUAGUAUUUGGGCGGUAGGUGCCGUCUGAGAACGUGGCUGGGCGACAUUUUGAGCUUGCAGGCGGAUGCUGUGCCACUUUAAACUCUGGCCCUUCCUGCCUGUGCUUGUCAGCUCGCUUGUGCUACCACUGGUGUCUUCUCAUACUUACGCGUGCUAAAGGCAGGUUUUUUUUCUUCUUCUUGUCUAGGGUUAGUCUUUAGUUGGCUUAGCUCGCUGAAUUGAUAUAAAUGCAGAAGGAUAGGAUUACUAUCGUGAGAUUAAUUAGCUUAAGUUGACUCUGU
rnacentral:lncRNA from 1 species